rnacentral:rRNA from 1 species
UACAAUCAAUAAGCGGAGGAAAAGAAACCAACAGGGAUUGCCUCAGUAACGGCGAGUGAAGCGGCAACAGCUCAAAUUUGAAAUCUGGCCCUUUCAGGGUCCGAGUUGUAAUUUGUAGAGGAUGUUUCGGGUGUGGCUCCGGUCUAAGUUCCUUGGAACAGGACGUCAUAGAGGGUGAGAAUCCCGUAUGUGACUGGUAGCCUAUGCCCAUGUGAAACUCCUUCGACGAGUCGAGUUGUUUGGGAAUGCAGCUCAAAAUGGGUGGUAAAUUUCAUCUAAAGCUAAAUAUUGGCCAGAGACCGAUAGCGCACAAGUAGAGUGAUCGAAAGAUGAAAAGCACUUUGGAAAGAGAGUUAAACAGUACGUGAAAUUGUUGAAAGGGAAGCGCUUGCAACCAGACUUGCAUGUAGCUGAUCAACCGGUGUUCUCACCGGUGCACUCAGUUGCGUUCAGGCCAGCAUCGGUUUCGACGGUUGGAUAAAGGCCUUGGGAAUGUAGCUCCUCUCGGGGAGUGUUAUAGCCCAGGGUGCAAUGCAGCCUGUUGGGACCGAGGACCGCGCUUCGGCUAGGAUGCUGGCGUAAUGGUUGUAAGCGACCCGUCUUGAAACACGGACCAAGGAGUCUAACAUCUAUGCGAGUGUUUGGGUGUCAAACCCAUACGCGUAAUGAAAGUGAACGGAGGUGAGAACCCUUAAGGGUGCAUCAUCGACCGAUCCUGAUGUCUUCGGAUGGAUUUGAGUAAGAGCAUAGCUGUUGGGACCCGAAAGAUGGUGAACUAUGCCUGAAUAGGGUGAAGCCAGAGGAAACUCUGGUGGAGGCUCGCAGCGGUUCUGACGUGCAAAUCGAUCGUCAAAUUUGGGUAUAGGGGCGAAAGACUAAUCGAACCAUCUAGUAGCUGGUUCCUGCGAUU